rnacentral:piRNA from 1 species
UAGAACUGAAAGACAGAGAGCCUCAAGGUU